rnacentral:SRP_RNA from 1 species
GGGUAAGUCUUGUACGACCAGCUCCCUUUACUCCUCCAGGUGCGGAAGCAAGCAAAGGUAAAAGGUUGUAGCGGUGCGAUACAAGUAGCUUACCCCUU